UCUCAAAUGGGAUCAUCAUAAUGGCGGAGAAUGGUUGGACUCUCGCCGAGCUCGUCUCGGACCUGCAUUUGAGUGAAGCGGACGCUGCUGACUUGCUUCGAUUUCGGAUCAACUUCCGACGCGAUGGUCUCGGAGUUCAUUGCUGCUGCCGGAGGUGAGCGGAGAAAGAUUUAUCUUAUCAUCUGCUUCUGUUUUUGGCUUCUUUGAGUUAUCUUAUUUGAUCCUCUUGUUCUAUGGUGUGUCUCUGAGCCCCGAUUGAUUGCGGUCUUUCUGUUAUAAUUGCCUCGAUUUCUUUUCAUUCUCUAAGAGUGUGGGAUCUUCGCAUAGUUUGAAGAGGAUUUUCAUCAGGAAAAGCACAUCGAGCACUGGGGCCGGGGGUCCUUGCCCUCGUGGUGCACAGCUGUCUAGCCUAGGGUAGGGUUGCCCAACGCGCUUUGUCCUCAAAGUGUAUCCGGUAGAAUGGUGCCAUUAAAACUCACCUUUCUAUGAACUUCAGUCGUUUAAUUGUCUUGUUUAUAAUUUCUGGGGUUAAAAACAAUUCUCGUGUUUUGCAAAAGUCGCAUCCAAGUUGUUUUGGACAGAGAACGUCACAUAAAUCCAUCUUGCUUAGGAAAACUAUCCACGUUGGGAAUUCUCAUGUGGGAACAUCAAUGACCUCAGACGCUCUUCUUUCUCUAUGCUGCCUACAGAUCCAUCCUAUGUGCCCAUCGUCGAGAUACCUCACCCGCCACAAACCGAACCUUUCAGCUAUAUCUUUUCCAGAUGUAAUCCUUCGAUUCUUCAAGAAAUCUGUGAGCCACUGCUGAGCAGCAGUUAUAUCAUGACGAAAAUUUAACAAACUUGGUCCGCCCGAGGGGGCACCCCUGUCUGUUGUUCUGCUUCCGGCAGCUUGCCCGGCGAUUAAAGUAGCCCCUAUUGCCCCUGCAGUGAAGGCUGUCAUUCGAGAAACAUGGGAAGCAUUAAGUAGAUGAGCUACCUCCCUGCCCAAAUCUGGUACCAUCUCUCCCAUUCCUGCCACAAAAUGGACUCCUAUCUUCAGGGCAAAGGUCACAAGCUUCAUGAAUGUACUCAUAUAUGGAAGCAGGCACUUCACUGCCUGGUUGUCUACUUGUAUAAGAUCACAACCUACCUGAUCUUGCACAACAUGCAUUUCUCUCCGAAACUCGCACAGCAUGUGUAAACGGAGUUCUGUCAUGCCAGAAAUCAGCCUUGUGACCAGUCUUCUUGAGUUCCCUUCUGUCUGUAUGAAGUAGAACAUCCUGGGUAUUUUCCUCUCUUCUAGUUGAAUGUUGUAGUUGACCAUGUAAUCUAUUUUCCUGUGUAGUUCGACCAGAAGCGUGUGUUCAUAAUAUCUUAGUUUGUGUAUCUCUCUCCUCAGGUCCUUUAUCUCAUGCUGUAUAAUCUUUAGGCUCUGUAAAACUGCUUCUACACCCUUCGCAAUACCUGAUACUGAAGGUUCCACCGUGAAAUCAGGCUCUCUUGCAUGUGCCUGUGAUUCACUCUCUGCCUGUUCGAGGGGCACAGACAGUUCCACAGCCAGAUGAUGCAAGUCAUAGUACCUCUGAUGCAGUACGUCUCGAAAAUCAUCGUCUGAAAGGAGAUUUCUAGCAUAGUCAAAGCCAGAGUGUAAAAUGAUUCUGUUUCCAUCCGAUACUGAAUCCCAUGUGUGCUGAUAGUCAUACAUGCUGUCUGCUGGCACAGAGAGCAAUGCCUGUUCCAAUUGCCCCAAAAGCACAGCUUGACCAUACCUGUACCUAUGUGGAAUAAGAUGCCGGACACAGUCUGGCCUGAUGAUCUUUUCCACAAGGCUGACUCCAAUUGCAAGACUUUGGAUUGUUGGAAAGAUCAGCUGCCUGAGGAGUCUUAGAAUUUCUGUUGUGCUCUUAGUUGAGCGAGCAAGGACAUCAAUGUAAUGACCAGGUUGUCCACCAAGCUCCACCCUGACAUCUACUCCGUUGAUUGUUAUUGUGAUGAGGUAUUUCUCUAGAUUGCAAGUUGCACCAUGUGGGUUCUUCGAUUGUAUCUUGUUGUAGAGAUGGACCUGGAGUUUCAGAAAGCUGGUAGAUAUUGAUUUGUGUAAAACGAUAAGUCAAAACGAAUUAGUAUUAUUUAUAAUUUCGUUAAAUCUAAUGUGAGAUCCUUUUCUCUUGUCAUUUUUUGAUAGAAGGUUUAAUUUUUUUGAAAUUUCAAAUGAACAAAGGAUAUGAUCUUUCUUUAUCUGACGACAGAGAGGUAAUGCAUGCUAUAUGAUGAGAUAUUACAUCGUGCUUUUUGUGUAAUGUAAUUUAUCAUCACUUUUAAUAGUAUCAGCCACGCGAGCUCCAUAUUUGCAUCUUAGGAAAACAAGGAACACAUGUUUGAAAUCAGCAUAUCUGUCUAUAAAAGAUGAUAUCCAAUUAUGGCUUCUUUCUCUUAGGUUGUGUAUCCCCAGUUCCAAUUAUGCUACUACUCAUUGUCAGAGACUUUUUUUUCAUAUGCGUCUUCCGCUUAUUUUCAAAGUUUUACAUAUACUUGACAUAGGAAAUACUUUGAAGUUAAAAUCAGCACUUUUAUAAAGGCUCUCCCUACCUGUAACCUUGAGAAAAAGCUUGGUCCAAGAUAUGUCUGGCAGGAAUUGUCACACUCCAGCUUCCGCCCUACGUAGAAGCAUUCUGACAUAGUUAGUUGCCAUUUCUGAGUUUUUGCCCUGCUUCCUUCCAGAAUUGUUGGGACAAAAAGCAGUGAAUUGUGAUCCCCAGGAUGUAGUUCAUAGCAUAAUUCUAACUUUAGCAUCAUGUGAAUGAGAUCGUUUUCUUCUAUAUCCUGACUAUUAAACCUCCCUCUUAGAAGCUUCUCCAGUUCUCUCCUGCUUAUGAAUCCAUUCCUGUUUGUUAUAGUCUUGUUACCUGAAUUAAGUUUUAUCAAGCGACCAAGGACUUCUCUGCAGAACCAUUCACAGUCGAGGAUCAGAAAUCCAAGCUCUUCAAAGAAAAUCACCUCACCCAUAUAGUGCAGAGAUUUUGCAACUUGACAUCUCUGUGAUUCUACCUGUCUAGUAUUAUGCCUUGAUCGGAUUCUCAAGAGUGGAACUUUGAGCUGGCAUAACUCACCAAAGUCGUUCCACUUCAUUGUUGGUCUGUUUUCAUUCUCUAACCUCCAGAUCUGCAGAAUCUUUAUGAAGUCAUUUGUCAGUUGGUAAACCUGUGGAACCCUUUGAACUAUUGUCUGGACAGUCUUUUGCAGGUGAUGUGUGAGUUUGCUCACCGACCGAGUACUUCUUGCAUCCACUGUGAAAACUGUCGCGUGUAACUCCACAAUUCCUCUGAAUCUUUCUCUUAAACUAUGAACUAAAUCAACGAUUGGCAGCAUGUUUUCCGAUUGCUUCAAAAUUUUGUCUGAGUGAGAGAGAACAAUGGUUACAUGUGGUAAUAUGGACUGCAGUUUUGCCCUUUCUGUGUUUGAAGCAAUGCACCUAAGCCAGUGGAGAAGAUCCUCUUCCAGUUCUGUUAGUCUUUUCUCUUCCUUGUUGUCAGGUUUUUGGAACAAACUGGAGACUAUCAGGAAGAGAGAGCCUCCAUUUCCUUGAAACAUAACGUCGUGCAGGGUGUGAAAUUCCUGUUGGCCUGCAACCACCCAGAUCGAUACUUUUAUGCCCUCGUGCUGCAGGGUUUUGAUCUUGAUUUCUUCUUUCCUGACACCUCUCGGCUCUGCUCGGUUCACCAGUGGUAGAGUCUGUCUCCAAUAGGGAAAUGCUGCAGUUGAAGAGUUUCUGGUUAUGGUGUUGCAAAGAGUUGAUUUACCUGCAUCACAUGAAUUUACGUCUCUCAGUGGAUUACUUAUAAUGUUUCAAGGUUUUUAGAGGAUUUCUUGAGAGAGUCUACGGGGGAUAAUUUUGAAGUCCACUUGGACACGCAUAGUUACUCAAUAAAAAAUGAAUUAACUAAUCUAACUCUUCAGAAUAGUUCGAGCAUAUGAGUAACCUAUUUAUCUAACGCCUUGAAUGUAGUUUCAUUGAAGUAUGAACAUAACUACCUUGGUUUUUUUGUUUCCAGCACUACCUGCAUAUUCUUGUCCACAGAAGAAGAUUCUGCAACUCAUUGGUGCAGCCCGUGGCAAGUCGUGGAACUGCUCAUCCUCAUGCUCCAUCCUUUCUCUCUCGUCAAGCUUCUGAGUAAUACUCUCGCUCUUUCCAGCAAUCUGCAAAGGAGUUCCCACGAGAUCAAUCUCUUCUAUCCAUGGAUUCACCUGCAAUGAUUCCAUGAUUGCUUGCAAUACUAACGCCCCAUCAACGCCUUCGCAGCCUCUGAGUGAUAGACAUCUCAAAGUAGAAUUUCUCUCCAAACUCUUGAAUAUUCUAGCUAUAUCAUGAGGUUUCAGGCUUCGAUCGUCGAAGAUUCCCAAUCUUACUAAUGUCUGAUUUGUCUCCAGCAUCUGCAAGAUUGCUCCAAGCCCUUCCCUUCCUAUCCUCGUCCUUCCUCCUCCAAAGGCAAUGGAUUUCAGAGUUGUGUUUGCCUGGUUCUGCAAUCGAGAAAACCUACUCAAUGGGCACAAUACAUGCUCAACACCCA
rnacentral:lncRNA from 1 species